rnacentral:rRNA from 1 species
GACGAACGCUGGCGGCGUGCUUAACACAUGCAAGUCGAACGGAAAGGCCCUGCUUUUGUGGGGUGCUCGAGUGGCGAACGGGUGAGUAACACGUGAGUAACCUGCCCUUGACUUUGGGAUAACUUCAGGAAACUGGGGCUAAUACCGGAUAGGAUCUCCUGCUGCAUGGUGGGGGUUGGAAAGUUUCGGCGGUUGGGGCUGUACUCGCGGCUUAUGAGCUUGUUGGUGGGGUAGUGGCUUACCAAGGCUUUGACGGGUAGCCGGCCUGAGAGGGUGACCGGCGUCAUUGGGACUGAGAUACGGACCAGACUCCUACGGGAGGCAGCAGUGGGGAAUAUUGCACAAUGGGCGGAAGCCUGAUGCAGCAACGCCGCGUGCGGGAUGACGGCCUUCGGGUUAUAAACCGAUUUCGCAUGUGACGAAGCGUGAGUGACGGUAAUGGGUAAAGAAGCACCGGCUAACUACGUG